rnacentral:sRNA from 1 species
UCAUCACCAUCAUCAUCCCUAAUUUGUCUUUCGGGAGAUGAGCGCAUACCCGGGAGACAGGAUUCUCCCGGAGGUGAAAUGAAAAAAAUUCAAUGAACCCUCGGGAGUAAUUCCGAGGGUUUUUUUAU